UACGAAGGGGGCUAGCGUUGUUCGGAAUUACUGGGCGUAAAGGGCGCGUAGGCGGUUAGGAUAGUCAGAUGUGAAAGCCCUGGGCUCAACCCGGGAACUGCGUUUGAUACUUCCUAGCUUGAAUUCGGUAGAGGUGAGUGGAAUUCCCAGUGUAGAGGUGAAAUUCGUAGAGAUUGGGAAGAACACCAGUGGCGAAGGCGGCUCACUGGACCGACAUUGACGCUGAGGCGCGAAAGCGUGGGGAGCAAACAGG
rnacentral:rRNA from 1 species